GGCUAUAGAAAUUGAACGGGAACUCGCAUCAAACUGACUUUUGAACCGAGUCUGACACUGUCGACGGACCAUUCUUGCAUCAGAUUGGAUUUUGCCCUUGAGUCUGACAUCGUAGAAGGACCAUUCUUGCAUCGGAUUGUAAGUAUUUAAUUUCUUUAUCAUUUUCAUAUAUAGCUUUUAUGAAUAACCUAUUAAAUUGCGAGAAAAUAUACUUUUUGUGUUUCGAAGCACUGAUUUUGCUGGUUUUCGAGGUUUAGCACAUGAACGUGUCAUCUGCGUAAUAUCAGCGAGGUCCAUAAAGAUGUAAAAUUUAAUUCUUGAUGAUGUUACAUUCUAAUGUCGUAGGAGAUGUACGUGUAGAACGUGUGUUGUUAGAUAAAUUGUACGUUUCGUACGUUGUUAUGUCGAUAAUUUGUACCUGUUUGUUUACAACAUGUUUACAUUAAAUGUAAACUUUUUUUUUUAAUUUUAGUCAUUUUGAAUAGUUUUUGGGGUAUAUAUAAUAUGGAUUGUGUUUUAUUAAUUUUCGUUCAAGUGAGUGAAAUUGAAAUACCAAGAUGAGGUGAUAGCAGGAUAUUCCACACUUUGUUUAUACGUGCGGUUCGACGUUGGCUUGCGCUGCACGCUGUGCGCUGCAAUUUGAAAUUUGAACAGUACCCCACCGGUCGCCGUGUGUCGGCGUGUGCUGUUUUUCCUGUUCAAUCAGUCGGUGAUACGCAAUUGUGCUAUGUGCACGUGUUCCAUUUCUUCUCCGCUACUGUUCGUUGCGACUGUUAGUAUUUCGACUCGAAACUUAAGACACCACGUGUGCGUGUGUAAGCCAUCAGUCGCCGGUCUUCGGAUCUCUUGCGUUGGGCUACGGAUUCCAAUUGGAUUUAUAGGCCAAUAUGGUAUUGUUAAUUAGAAGGGAUAAAUCACGCGUUUUCUCAGCGUGGCAUAGUUGUUAGUGCAAAAGUUAUGCAGUGAGUAGUAACAUCAAUUCUACUAACAAUUCUGCUUUGUGUGUAACAUUUCAUAAGAGAGCGUUGUGGCUCGAUGGUAUGUAGGAUAUGCCUUGGACCGUACGAACGUUCGUUUUAUUAAAAAAGAAAGAAGAAUGUAUUGUUAAAUAUAGUUAAUAAAACUCAAUUUACAAUUAAAA